rnacentral:rRNA from 1 species
UACGGAGGGGGCUAGCGUUGUUCGGAAUUACUGGGCGUAAAGCGCACGUAGGCGGCUUUGUAAGUUAGAGGUGAAAGCCCGGGGCUCAACUCCGGAAUUGCCUUUAAGACUGCAUCGCUAGAAUUGUGGAGAGGUAAGUGGAAUUCCGAGUGUAGAGGUGAAAUUCGUAGAUAUCUGGAGGAACACCGGUGGCGAAGGCGGCAUCCUGGACCAAUUCUGACGCUGAGGAGCGAAAGCCAGGGGAGCAAACGGG